UCCUUGGCUGUCGCGGAUUUUCUUUUUCUCUCUUUCGUAUCAAACACAUCUCAGUUAGUAUUCCUGCCAUCUUUGUUUUCGUCCUUUCGUUGUUUGCAACUGGUACAAAUAAUAUAGUGCAGUGAGAAUAAAAAUUGAUGAGCGCGUUAAAGUUAGGUUUUUUCUCUUUUCUUGGUGUUCUAUAAAGUUUCUUUGUCUUAUCCUUUCGUUUGAUGGCUUUGAGCUAUGGUUUUGCCCAUUGUCUUUGGUGGGCUCUGGAAUCGAGAUACUCUAUUUGUGGGAAAUGUGUGCUUUUCUUAAUCCUGUUUUAUUGCUUCAUGAUAUUAAUGGAAAAUUAGUUUUUGUUCGUCAAUCUGACUAUAGUGCUUGUUCUGACGAAUUUUAGCUUGAACUCAGUGAUAUCAAUUACUUGAUUAUAUUGCGACUAGGAGCUUUGGCUACUUUGUGGCGAAGGAUGGCGCCUGCGGUGGAAAACAGGGAGCACAAACGACGGGACACAUCUGAUAGGUCUAGUUCUCCUAUUAGAUAUCAACGUUCCCCAUCUAGGAGGUCAUCCCACGGUCACAUCUGAUAGGAAGGAAUCAGGCCUGAAGGAGCUGAACAUGCUUGGUUCAGCCAGUGAACAGAGACUGUGAUCUGUGAUCACCAAAAGAAGCUCCACUUGCCAUCAAUCAUGAAAAGCCAAACCUUUUUUUCUUUGCCAAGAUAGAGUACUGAGCGAGAGGAGAUGCAAAUUCUGAGAAGUUGCAAAUCAUAUUACAACAAAAGCUCCUUUCUGCAAGAAACUAGCUAUUACUUGGACAACCAUUGCGACUUAGCAAGAGAUAGCUACAUCUCAAUACCAACUUCUAUGCAUGUGACGUAGAAGGCCCAUUAUCU